UACGGAGGGGGCUAGCGUUGUUCGGAAUUACUGGGCGUAAAGCGCGCGUAGGCGGCUUAGCAAGUUAGAGGUGAAAGCCCGAAGCUCAACUUCGGAAUUGCCUUUAAAACUGCAAAGCUAGAAUCAUGGAGAGGUGAGUGGAAUUCCGAGUGUAGAGGUGAAAAUUCGUAGAUAUUCGGAAGAACACCAGUGGCGAAGGCGACUCACUGGACAUGUAUUGACGCUGAGGUGCGAAAGCGUGGGGAGCAAACAGG
rnacentral:rRNA from 1 species